rnacentral:rRNA from 1 species
CAAAUGACUCUCGGCAACGGAUAUCUCGGCUCACGGAUCGAUGAAGAACGUAGCAAAAUGGAUACUUGGUGUGAAUUGCAGAAUCCCGUGACCAUCGAGUUUUUGAACGCAAGUUGCGCCCGAAGCCUUUUGGCCGAGGGCACGUCUGCCUGGGCGUCACAC